GACGAACGCUGGCGGCGUGCUUAACACAUGCAAGUCGAACGCUGAAGCUCAGCUUGCUGGGUGGAUGAGUGGCGAACGGGUGAGUAACACGUGAGUAACCUGCCCUCUUCUUUGGGAUAACGCCCGGAAACGGGUGCUAAUACUGGAUAUUCACUGAUUCUCGCAUGGGGGUUGGUGGAAAGGUUUUUUCUGGUGGGGGAUGGGCUCGCGGCCUAUCAGCUUGUUGGUGGGGUGAUGGCCUACCAAGGCUUUGACGGGUAGCCGGCCUGAGAGGGUGACCGGUCACAUUGGGACUGGGAUACGGCCCAGACUGCUACGGGAGGCAGCAGUGGGGAAUAUUGCACAAUGGGCGAAAGCCUGAUGCAGCGACGCCGCGUGAGGGAUGGAGGCCUUCGGGUUGUAAACCUCUUUCGCUCAUGGUCAAGCCGCAGCUUGGGGUUGUGGUGAGGGUAGUGGGUAAAGAAGCGCCGGCUAACUACGUG
rnacentral:rRNA from 1 species